CAUUGAGAAUAAUAUUAUUGCUCACAGGGCGUGGUUUCGGUUAAAUGGUAGCCGCUUCAGAUCGUGAGGUCUGUCGAAUAACCCCGUUAAUUCAGGGGAAGUCUCUCUGAGAUAAUCCUGAGCCUAGGAUCACUAAUCUGAUUCGGGUGCAACGACUAAUUGUAGGGUCAAGUGACUCGAAACGCGGGGAAUCUCUUAGGAGAUUGUGAUAUAGUCUGAUCUGCAUGGCGACAUGUAG
rnacentral:ncRNA from 1 species